GGGCUUCAGAUUACACUGGAAAGAACAAACUCAUUAAGAAAUUGUAGAUCAAAAUUUAAUUUGUGGUAGUGUAACUGGUGUAUGAUUGACUCAAUUUAAUUUGCUUUCUUUUAAUUCCUAUAUUGGAUUAUUAUUUUUUUUGUAUGUAUAUAUUCUGUUUAUGCUACUAUAAAUUCUAUUAGUUUCAUAAUAAGAAAGGGUUAGUGAACUCCACGAAAUUUUGUUCAUUUAUUAUUGUUUGCAAGUUAAAAUUACAUAAUAUUAGAUUCGUGGAACUUUUUCUUUGGGAUUUUGUCUGGGGAGGGGAAUUAUAUCAGUGGAACACAUCCGGGGUUUUCCCCGCGUGCGAUGUGCGAUAGCCUCAGUCCACCUGUGUGCGAGGCUAAGGAGCACAUGUAUUAUUGAGCUCUCCCCGUAAUUGACUCUGUGUGCCAGAGAGGGAGAAGCGGUCGCCUUUUGAUCCACUGAUUAUUUCUCCUUAUUACAGGUAUGUUGUUUAUGUUGGUUCUGUUUUAUAAAAGAAAAGAGAUUUAGUGACUGAAUGUAUUCAAUGUAGAGUGUUACGGGAGAAAAUCUGAUUUAAUGAUUCAUGCAGUGCUUGACGCACGUGGUGCGGCCUACAAAUAAUACAGUGCUAAAUGUAUUAAAUUAUUAAUUUAGAUAUGAAACGUAUAAGAAUACUGAUUUAUUCAUACAAAUGGUAUUAUAAUUUGUUUUAUUUCACUGCAGUGUGUUUAAUGUAUAAAUACUGGAAUUAAUGCAUAAGUUAUAUAGAUUUUAUAUCCAAUGUAAUAUUGUAAUCUAUUUAUUGUAAUAUUUUAUACCCUUACCUUGUGAUGUAUUAAUAGAAAUGUGAUGUAUAAGAAAGACAAAGAGACAUAUUGUAAACAGUAUAAUUUAUUUUUCAUUAUUGUAUAAUCUCAGUCCACCUGUGUGCGAGGCUAAGGAGCACAUGUAUUAUUGAGCUCUCCCCGUAAUUGACUCUGUGUGCCAGAGAGGGAGAAGCGGUCGCCUUUUGAUCCACUGAUUAUUUCUCCUUAUUACAGACCAAGUAAAGGAAAGUGCU
ensembl:lncRNA